CUACGGGUUGCUGCAGUGGGGAAUAUUGCAUAAUGGGCGCAAGCCUGAUGCAGCCAUGCCGCGUGUAUGAAGAAGGCCUUCGGGUUGUAAAGUACUUUCAGCGGGGAGGAAGGGAGUAAAGUUAAUACCUUUGCUCAUUGACGUUACCCGCAGAAGAAGCACCGGCUAACUCCGUGCCAGCAGCCGCGGUAAUACAGGAGGGUGCAAGCGUUAAUCGGAAUUACUGGGCGUAAAGCGCACGCAGGCGGUUUGUUAAGUCAGAUGUGAAAUCCCCGGGCUCAACCUGGGAACUGCAUCUGAUACGGGGAAGCUUGAGUGUAGUAGAGGGGGGUAGAAUUCCAGGGGUAGCGGUGAAAUGCGUAGAGAUCUGGAGGAAUACCGGUGGCGAAGGCGGCCCCAUGGACGAAGACUGACGCUCAGGUGCGAAAGCGUGGGGAGCAAACAGGAUUAGAUACCCUUGUAGUC
rnacentral:rRNA from 1 species